GACCGCAUCACUUUGAAACACCGGUUGCCGCUCGAUAACCGAAGUUAAGCAACGUCGAGCCUGGUCAGCACCUAGAUGGGUAACCGCAUGGGAAUACCAGGUGCUGUAAG